rnacentral:rRNA from 1 species
UACGGAGGGUGCAAGCGUUGUCCGGAUUUAUUGGGUUUAAAGGGUGCGUAGGUGGCUAUUUAAGUCAGUGGUGAAAGCCUGCAGCUUAACUGUAGGACUGCCAUUGAUACUGAAUAGCUUGAGUACUGAUGAGGUAGGCGGAAUUGAUAGUGUAGCGGUGAAAUGCAUAGAUAUUAUCAAGAACACCGAUUGCGAAGGCAGCUUACUAAGGAGUUACUGACACUGAGGCACGAAAGCGUGGGGAGCAAACAGG